rnacentral:lncRNA from 1 species
UCAGAAUUGUAAAACCAAGAUAAGGUGGCCUCAAGUAUGGGCCACAUUUUAAAAUUGCAUGUAUGUUAUAUCCACGAGGUCCAGCAGCAUUAUAGGAAGAAGCAAAGGAAUCGAACUAUUACAUUAUUGAAAGCAAGAGGCAGCAUUUCAUAUGCUUAGAGGUUCACCUUAAAACCAAAGCAUCAUACAUAAAGGCGUCUGGUUAUGUGAGGUGAGGCUGAAGUUUGAUUUCACCACGUCUGCUUCUGGGGCCUUCCAUCCACAUGAACAGGGUGCCAAAAACUCCAAAAGAAGGCAAGUGAAAAACAAUUGGGCAGAGCCUUAUCUCCAAUCAGUCGUGGAGAAGAAGAGACCAAAGAGAUCAUUUUCUCUGGAGGCCUUUCUACCCUUCCUGCAUCUGAUUGACCCCUGACACAAAGCAAGCCCUAAAACGUAUAUGCAGGAA